rnacentral:rRNA from 1 species
UAAGGAAUAUUGGUCAAUGGAGGCAACUCUGAACCAGCCAUGCCGCGUGCAGGAAGACUGCCCUAUGGGUUGUAAACUGCUUUUAUCCGGGAAUAAACCUACUUACGUGUAAGUAGCUGAAUGUACCGGAAGAAUAAGGAUCGGCUAACUCCGUGCCAGCAGCCGCGGUAAUACGGAGGAUCCAAGCGUUAUCCGGAUUUAUUGGGUUUAAAGGGUGCGUAGGCGGCCUGUUAAGUCAGGGGUGAAAGACGGUAGCUCAACUAUCGCAGUGCCCUUGAUACUGAUGGGCUUGAAUGGACUAGAGGUAGGCGGAAUGAGACAAGUAGCGGUGAAAUGCAUAGAUAUGUCUCAGAACACCGAUUGCGAAGGCAGCUUACUAUGGUCUUAUUGACGCUGAGGCACGAAAGCGUGGGGAUCAAACA